GGUAGAUUUCCUAAAAGCACCCGUAGUGCCACCACAUAAACUACACUCGGCAACAAAAUAGGGCUUCUCCCAAAAAUUGAGGGAAGCAGCUGCAGAGCACUUAGAUGACAAUAAUUCCUCACAUAAUUCACAGUACCAUGGACCUGUAGAUUCUUUGACACUACGAUAGCAAUCCAAGUGCACUGCAACCUUGCAACUGGAACAGACUAAGAUGGGGUUCAGAAUUGUCUCAGAUCGUCUGCAAAUAUCACAUGAUCUAGGAUGCUCUUUAGAAAAAUCAGGAACUGACUGAACAAAAUCAGAGUACUUUUCUGAUGAAUUCCUUGGAACAGCCACCCUUGAAAGUGUCUCUUUUGGACGUGGCAUCAGCUGAGAAGAAAGGCCAGCCCUCCCAUUAGAAACAUCAAAUUUCUCCUGAUGAUUAGGGUCAUCGUACGUGUCUUUCCUAAAUGAUGAAACCCUAGAAGAGGAGGCAGCAGCUGCAGUUGCAGCUGCUAGCACAGCCUGGGCUUCUUUAUGCUUUCUUUCUUUCCUGCCCUGCUUCUUUGCUUCUCUAAGCUCAACAAGAUACUGGUUGACAAGCACUGCAUCCCAUCUUUGGGCCCUGGCUAUGUCAAUCUCCUGUGGCAUACUCUUAGCAACCUUACAAAUUAAAUUAUCAGUAUAGCAUUUUCUUGCAACUGCAUUGUCAAGUAAUCUAUGCUGAAAAUAAAUAAUUUCGCCUUCCACUUCAUCUGCUGGAGACAGCUCAAAAACUCCCACUUUCUCAUCCUUAACCAGCUGAUCUGGAUUUACUUCAACAGAUUUGUACAGGUCAUUGCACAUUGAA
rnacentral:misc_RNA from 1 species